GACGAACGCUGGCGGCAUGCUUAACACAUGCAAGUCGAACGAUCACUUCGGGGAUAGUGGCGCACCGGUGCGUAACGCGUGGGAACCUGCACUUAGGUUCGGAAUACCUCAGAGUAAUUUGAGCUAAUACCGGCUAAUGUCUUCGGACCAAAGAUUUAUCGCCUUUGGAUGGGCCCUCGUUGGAUUAGCUAGUUGGUGGGGUAAUGGCCUACCAAGGCGACGUUCCAUAGCUGGUCUGAGAGGAUGAUAAGCCACAAUGGGACUGCGACACGGCCCAGACUCCUACGGGAGGCAGCAGUGGGGAAUAUUAGACAAUGGGCGAAAGCCUGAUCCAGCAAUGCCGCGGGAGAGAUGAAGGCCUUAGGGUUGUAAAGCUCUUUGACCCGGGAUGAUAAUGACAGUACCGGGAGAAUAAGCACCGGCUAACUCCGUG
rnacentral:rRNA from 1 species